GCGCGGAUUCCUUCCCACCGGGGGAAGAUGUAGCAGUGAAGCGACUGAAGGUUCGCCGAGUUCAUCACAAGCAUGUCGUGUCUUUGGUUGGAUAACAAACACCUUGGAGUUCCACUUUACAUGGUGGCGAGUUUGGAUUUUCAGCACCGAUAUUACUGGGAGCUUAUAUGAUCCACCACCCGUCCAGCCCCCCUCCCCCCUCUUUCUUUGGCUGCCUUUGCCAACCGCUCUGUCAAAAAAGCCUUUGACCUUCUAACUGCAAUCUUUUUGGGGAGUUUUUAAGAAAAUACGAUGUGGCACUUAGCCUAAGACAGAAAUGCCUCACUUCGUGUUACAGUCGCCGGCGAAAGGUUGUUUCGCCGGCGAGCUAGAUCUGGUGCUAAGUUCGACCGAACCCCACCAGCGACAGAGGAUGAGACAACACCAACGUUGAUGACAGCGGCAAGCGGCAGUGGGUGGCAGAUGUGGAGCUAGCGAUUAAAGGUGACGGGGUAGUGGCUGGGUGUAGAUAUCCUAUGUCGUCCACGAAUUAAAGUGGCCAUUGAAUAUGGUGCCCCCUUAGUUAUCAUCUACUCAGAGAAACUAAAUUAAAGACGCCGAUUUACCUCUAACUGGGAAGGAUCUAGAUCUCAAUCCAUAACGGAAAAGAUCUAAAUUUCAAACCAUAUUGCUUACGUCCACUGAUUUUGUAAAUAAGACUAUGUAGACCGUAUAUAGAGGCCUGCCAAUAUGGAAGAUCUAGACUUCAUGAGGAUUGCGAUCUAGACCUGUCUCGCCGGCCAAGGAGAGGGACGACCGACCUAGAUUGGCCAGCUAGGCUGAAAAUUACUUUGGGGUCUGCCAAAGGACUAGCAUAUCUUCAUGAGGAUUGUCAUCCUAAGAUCAUACAUCGCGAUAUCAAGGGAGCUAACUUACUUGUGGACUUCGAAUUUGAGGCAAACAUUCGAGGUUUGUACCGCCAAUUAUAUGCGCCAUCUUUGGGAGCUCAAAGCACAUAGCAAUCGGGACCGUGGCUGCAGCUUCAAUGCUUCUAGCUGCGACCAUUCAAGAGAAAGUGUCUGCGGACACUGACCCCAAAUUGUAUCUCCACUUGAUCUUCACAGCCACUCUCUUCACCGGAAUCUUCCAGUCAGUCUUAGGGUUCCUAAGACUGGGGAUUCAAUCGUCGGUAUCAUGAGUGGGACUGCCAUCAUGAUAUGGCAGCAACAGUUGAAGGGCAUCUUUGGACUGAUUCACUUCACCACCAAAACGGACAUGAUAUCUUUCUUGCAUGCCGUGUUCAAGAACUGAGACGAG